UCACGAGGUAGGCCCCCUGAGGCGGCGCU
rnacentral:sRNA from 1 species